UUUGACCAGUGUACCUAGUCAUCCACUUUCUGUAGAGGGAAGUGGCUUGAGGUAAAGUAUAUAUCAACUCAUUGGUAGUGGUGAAUAGCUUGGUUGAAUUUCUUAGGGUCCUGGAAAAAUAAAGCCUGAAAAAAUCAGGGACCAAGUGGUAUGGGGAAGAAGCAUAUGGAUUUGCACUAACCAUGUCUCAUUAUUCUGUAUUUUUGAUGUUUUGACAUCUUGGUCUGACCCUAGGAUGACUACCCCUCCUAGGGCUAGCUAUUUCCUGGAGAUAGCAAACAACUCACCUGCAACUGCACCUUUAAUGUAUAAACCAACCACCUCCUCUAUCAGGCUCUGACAUUCUGGGCCACUGUGCCUCUGCCCUAAUCACUCCAGAGCCAGGUACAAGACUACUAGAGAUAGUCCCUAAACUCCAGAGUCUGCUGUAAUUAUUCAAACUAGCCAGUCCCAAACAUCCUUAUCCUGUCUUAGUUACUCUUCCCCACAGAAACCACAAUAAAAUAUCUUGCCAUUUUCCCCCUCUCCCUCUGCCUCCUGAUUGACCAUGGUGCUUCCCUGUGUGACUCCCCGUGGUAUGGACUGCAACCUCCUCCUGGGAUCUAAUGACCAGAAGAGUCCUCUAGUGACAAUGUUGAAAUAUGAUGAAUCCUGUAACAUGAUAAUAGAAGAAUUUAUUUACCAGAAUGCCUCUGAGGAAGACAUCACCUUUUCUAAUGAGGAACAGUGAUUGUCCAUUCCUCAUAUAUGCCCUGCAUUUUCUCACCUCAAGGAUUUUGAUCAAUGUGAACUCUAUAUGUGGAAUGUCCUUUUCAUCUCUUUUAUACGUGGGACGCCUACCACAGCAUGGCUGCCAAGCAG
rnacentral:lncRNA from 1 species